GACGAACGCUGGCGGCGUGCUUAACACAUGCAAGUCGAACGGAAAGGCCAUGCUUUUGCGGGGUGCACGAGUGGCGAACAGGUGCGUAACACGUGAGUAACCUGCCCUUGACUUUGGGAUAACUUCAGGUAACUGUGGCUAAUACCGGAUAGGAGCUCCUGCUGCUUGGUGGGGGUUGGAAAGUUUCGGCGGGUUGGGAUGGAGUCGCGGGUUAUGAGCCUGUCGGUGGGGUAGUGUCUUAGCAAGGUAUUGACGGGUCGCCGGACUGAGAGGGUGACCGGGCACAGAGGGACUGAGGUAGGGCCAAGACGGAUACGGGAGGCAGCGGUGGGAGAUUGUGCACGAUGGGCGGAAGGCGGAUGCAGCAACGCCGCGUGGGAGAUGACGGUCGUAGGGGUGGAAAGCGCGUUAGACUGGAACGAACAGUGUGUGACGGUAAUUGGUAAGAAAGCACCGGCUAACUACGUG
rnacentral:rRNA from 1 species